rnacentral:rRNA from 1 species
AUGAACGCUGGCGGCGUGCCUAACACAUGCAAGUCGUACGAGAAAUCUCCUGCUUGCAGGAGAGAGUAAAGUGGCGAGCGGGUGAGUAACGCGUGGGUAAUCUACCUCCGAAUUUGGGAUAACAUUGCGAAAGUGAUGCUAAUACCGUAUGGUAUCUUGCAACUCAGGUUGUCAAGAUUAAAGGUGGCCUCUACAAGUAAGCUACCGUUUGGGGAUGAGCCCGCGUGCCAUUAGCUUGUUGGUGGGGUAACGGCCUACCAAGGCGACGAUGGUUAGCUGGUCUGAGAGGAUGAUCAGCCACACUGGAACUGAGAUACGGUCCAGACUCCUACGGGAGGCAGCAGUGAGGAAUCUUGCGCAAUGGGGGAAACCCUGACGCAGCAACGCCGUGUGAGUGAUGAAGGCUUUCGAGUCGUAAAGCUCUGUCAAGUGGGAAGAACCUGCCGGAUGCUAAUACCAUCAGGCACUGACGGUACCACUGGAGAAGCACCGCUAACU